rnacentral:rRNA from 1 species
AACUGAUUUGCUUUAAUUUUUUAUGAGUUAAAUUAGAUAUUUUAUUAACAGUUGUAAGGUUUUAUUGUUACAACUAUUUAUAUACUAAAAUGUUUUUUAAAGUUAAAUUAUUUGUUAGACAAGAAUUAGAUACUCUUUUAUAUAUAAUUUUAUUUAUGUAAUCUCAGUUUUAACUGAAAGAAAUUGGCAGCUGAUUAUAUCCUUCUAGGGGAGUGUGUAUUUUAAUAGAUGUUCCACUUAUUAUUUUACUGCGGUUAUUUUGUUAGUGUAUAUCCGGUUUAGUUAUAUAAAAUAAAUGUUUUGUGUAUAAAUAGUUUUUUAAUCCAGGUCAAUAUGCUGCUUAUGCUGUAGUUAAUAUUCGCUACAUUAUAAAGUUAUGAAGUUAAAGUCUUAAUAUUUUUGGGACUUAGUAGUAUUAUGAGAUUUUAGAUAGCUCAUGAGAAUAAGGUUUAAUUGGGGCACACAUCGCCCGCCAUCUUCGAA